GACGAACGCUGGCGGCGUGCUUAACACAUGCAAGUCGAACGAAGUGGCGAACGGGUGAGUAACGCGUAAUCAACCUGCCCCUCAGAGGGGGACAACAGUUGGAAAUGACUGCUAAUACCGCAUACUGCAGGCCGGGAUUGCGUUGGAUUAGUUAGUGGGUUGGGUAACGGCCCACCAAGGCGAUGAUCAGUAGCCGGACGGAGAGGAUGAACGGCCACAUUGGGACUGAGACACGGCCCAGACGCCUACGGGAGGCAGCAGUAGGGAAGCUGCCGCAAUGGGCGAAAGUCUGACGGAGCAACGCCGCGUGAGUGAUGACGGCCUUCGGGUUGUAAAGCUCUGUUGAUCGGGACGCGGUACCGGAAUAGAAAGCCACGGCUAACUACGUGCCAGCAGCCGCGGUAAUAC
rnacentral:rRNA from 1 species